AGGAGGACUGCUGCUGCUUUACUUGGAUCUUCUGCUUGCAGAACACAACUGGUGUAAUUAUAUCUAAAGAUGCGUUUUAAACUCUAAAACAAGAGUUGUUAAUGCUGACAUAGGAUCUUUCCAUUCACCCAGCUGGGUUUGCUCCAGAGUUUCCCAUUCGUUACUUUUUCUAUUUGUUUUUGCAGGACUGUUCAAGGAUGAAGAAAGCAGAAAUCCAAUGCUGAACACGGAUCUACAACACAUAUAUCCAAAUUUGCUUGGGUAAAAGUGAAGUUUAACGAAAGGUACACUUCUCAACGUAACACGACAUUGUUAAAAUCGCACAGGGGGAAAAAAUAAAUAAUAUUUUGAAUCGUUACUGUCCA
rnacentral:lncRNA from 1 species